CUCGAUUGCAUAACUUCUGGUAGUGGGGGACUGCGUUCGCGCUCUCCCCUG
rnacentral:snRNA from 8 species